rnacentral:rRNA from 1 species
CUGCGAAUGGCUCAUUAUAUAAGUUAUCGUUUAUUUGAUAGUAUCUUGCUACUUGGAUAACCGUGGUAAUUCUAGAGCUAAUACAUGCUAAAAAUCCCGACUUCGGAAGGGAUGUAUUUAUUAGAUUAAAAACCAAUGCCCUCUGGGCUCUCUUGGUGAAUCAUGAUAACUUCUCGAAUCGCAGGGCCUUGCGCCGGCGAUGGUUCAUUCAAAUUUCUUCCCUAUCAACUUUCGAUGUUUGGGUAGUGGCCAAACAUGGUUGCAACGGGUAACGGAGGGUUAGGGCUCGACCCCGGAGAAGGAGCCUGAGAAACGGCUACUACAUCCAAGGAAGGCAGCAGGCGCGCAAAUUACCCAAUCCCGAUCCGGGGAGGUAGUGACAAUAAAUACUGAUACAGGGCUCUUUUGGGUCUUGUAAUUGGAAUGAGUACAAUUUAAAUCCCUUAACGAGGAACAAUUGGAGGGCAAGUCUGGUGCCAGCAGCCGCGGUAAUUCCAGCUCCAAUAGCGUAUAUUAAAGUUGUUGUGGUUAAAAAGCUCGUAGUUGAACCUUGGGCCUGGCUGGCCGGUCCGCCUCACCGCGUGCACUGGUCCGGCCGGGCCUUUCCCUCUGUGGAACCCCAUGCCCUUCACUGGGUGUGGCGGGGAAACAGGACUUUUACUUUGAAAAAAUUAGAGUGCUCCAGGCAGGCCUAUGCUCGAAUACAUUAGCAUGGAAUAAUGAAAUAGGACGUGCGGUUCUAUUUUGUUGGUUUCUAGGACCGCCGUAAUGAUUAAUAGGGACAGUCGGGGGCAUCAGUAUUCAAUUGUCAGAGGUGAAAUUCUUGGAUUUAUUGAAGACUAACUACUGCGAAAGCAUUUGCCAAGGAUGUUUUCAUUAAUCAGGAACGAAAGUUAGGGGAUCGAAGACGAUCAGAUACCGUCGUAGUCUUAACCAUAAACUAUGCCGACUAGGGAUCGGACGAUGUUAUUUUUUGACUCGUUCGGCACCUUACGAGAAAUCAAAGUGCUUGGGCUCCAGGGGGAGUAUGGUCGCAAGGCUGAAACUUAAAGAAAUUGACGGAAGGGCACCACCAGGGGUAAACCUGACCUGUGAAGCCGCAGUCAACUCUGCUCCAGAAAGCCGCCCGAAAGGGUCGGUGGUGUUCCUAGGGGAGAGCUCUCCCCUAAACUAAUGGCUAGUCCUGCCGCCCGCGGCAGGGCGACACCCUCAAACUGACGGGGAACUCCUAAAGCCCUCGCUCCGGACAGGCGUCGGGAAACCGACGGCCUGCUCACCAGGCUAACGACCUCGGGUAUCGGAAGCAACGCGAGAGGAUGCUACAAUGGACAAUCCGCAGCCAAGCCCCUACGGUGCGGCCUCUACGGGGGUCGCAUACGGGGAAGGUUCAGAGACUUGACGGGGGUGGGUGGCGCGGGCUCUUGGGGUGCAAGCCGCGUGCUUGCUUGCAGGCCCAGGCGCCCGCCGCUGCCUAAGAUAAAGUCCGGGCGUGCGCGAAAGCGUGCGCGGCAACCACGCAACCCGCCGUUUCCAGCGGGUGCGAGGCCCCAGAAGUAAAAACAACCGGGAGCCUGCGGCUUAAUUUGACUCAACACGGGGAAACUCACCAGGUCCAGACACAAUGAGGAUUGACAGAUUGAGAGCUCUUUCUUGAUUUUGUGGGUGGUGGUGCAUGGCCGUUCUUAGUUGGUGGAGUGAUUUGUCUGCUUAAUUGCGAUAACGAACGAGACCUUAACCUGCUAAAUAGCCCGUAUUGCUUUGGCAGUACGCCGGCU